AGUGCUCCCCGCGCUGUUGCGCGUCACACCCGGCUCUCAGACACUUGCUCCGGGACACCGGCUACGCAACCACCCCCCCGCCCGGUGACUGCUGGCCCAGGAACCCACGUUGGGGCAGCCCACGCACCACCCGGCGUCCAGGACCUCCUCACCGGAAGUUGCUUUCUACCUAGGCCCGCCCAGGCCUGCGCGCGGCGCUCCAGGCAUCCGCGGGCGCAUCACAUGACCCCCAAGAGGAGGCCAGCUGAGCCUCAUCUGAAGAGAGACCUGACCUGUGAAAUGGAUUGAUCUGAUUUGCACUGCCCUGACCAUCCUCAAAAACUACAACAUGCCUUAUCUUUUAUCCUGAGCCAAAACAAACUAUCCCAACAGAUAUUCCUCCUAUCAGAGAUUCAGCAGGCUAGGCCACAAGAAGAACCUCCUAGUUGAGUGAUUCUCAGAACUUGAAUCUACCACGAGAAGAGCCUUUUACUACUCCCUUUGCCUCUUACAAGCAACCAAAAUGUGAGAACUGAAUAAAGCACCCUGCACUAUGACAUGCACAAGAAAUGCUUGACGUGAUGUCUGGACCUAUUGGCUUAGCAGAACUCUCAAGUUCCUGAACAUGCCUAAGCUGAAAGCUUCUCUAAACCACUGGAUUUUGAAGAUCUGCAGCGCUAGGACUGCAGCACUUGUAAUCAACUCUGUCAUAGCAGUUCGUUCAUAUUCUAUUAAAGACAGUUGAUUUUCAGCCGUUUGACAUCCUUAUAGCAAAGCUGUCCGUCAACACCUUUUCCUGAAGGGAA
rnacentral:lncRNA from 1 species